AGGAAUUAGGCAAAUUGGAUCCGUAACUUCGGGAGAAGGAUCGCCACUGUAGGGUAAGGUUGACAAGCUUGACCAAGCCCGAAGUGGCCGCAGAGAAGUGGCCCUACCGACUGUUUACCAAAAUCACAGGUCUCUGCAAACGCGCAAGCGGAUGUAUAGGGGCUGACGCCUGCCCAGUGCCGGAAGGUUAAAGGGAGAGGUUACCCUGAGCGCAAGCGAAGGGGAAGCUUUGAACUGAAGCCCCGGUGAACGGCGGCCGUAACUAUA
rnacentral:rRNA from 1 species